GGAGAGUUGGAGGGCGGGGCUCAGGAUGAACGCUGGCGGCGUGCCUAAUACAUGCAAGUCGAGCGAACUGAUUAGAAGCUUGCUUCUAUGACGUUAGCGGCGGACGGGUGAGUAACACGUGGGCAACCUGCCUGUAAGACUGGGAUAACUUCGGGAAACCGAAGCUAAUACCGGAUAGGAUCUUCUCCUUCAUGGGAGAUGAUUGAAAGAUGGUUUCGGCUAUCACUUACAGAUGGGCCCGCGGUGCAUUAGCUAGUUGGUGAGGUAACGGCUCACCAAGGCAACGAUGCAUAGCCGACCUGAGAGGGUGAUCGGCCACACUGGGACUGAGACACGGCCCAGACUCCUACGGGAGGCAGCAGUAGGGAAUCUUCCGCAAUGGACGAAAGUCUGACGGAGCAACGCCGCGUGAGUGAUGAAGGCUUUCGGGUCGUAAAACUCUGUUGUUAGGGAAAACAAGUACGAGAGUAACUGCUCGUA
rnacentral:rRNA from 2 species